GUGGAUAAUAAGGCAGCUUUGCAGAUGUUUACGGGGAACUCCUCCCAAGAGAGAUGGACAACAUGGGAGAAAACAUGAAGGAAUCACCACAGGCUUUGAAGUUAGGAUGGAAUACCUCUCUUGUGACAGCCCGCAUGCUUCAGCAUUACUGAACAGACUCUUAUCAGGAGGCCUUGGAGACCAGAUUUCAGGUUCAGAAUAGCUGCCCUUAUACAGAACAAUCCUUCCUCUCUGCUCCACAUAGGUCACUUCAAGAACAAAGGAAAUAAUUGUGAGUAACCGUCUGGAACACAAAACAGCCCCAGUGCUUACCCUGAUGGUGAGUGCCUGGGUUGUGAAACACUUUAGAUCUUUAGAAAAGGCUUUGCU